GCCGCUGCCAAGUCGCGCGGAGGCGGAAGCUUGGGUGCCUUCAAGAUUCAGCUUCACCCGUAACCCACCGCCAUGGCCGAGGAAGGCAUUGCUGCUGGAGGGGUAAUGGACGUUAAUACUGCUUUACAAGAGGUGCUGAAGACCGCCCUCAUUCACGAAGGCCUAGUUCGUGGAAUUCGCGAAGCUGCCAAAGCCUUAGACAAGGGCCAAGGCCAUCUUUGUGUGCUUGCGUCCAACUGUAAUGAGCCUAUGUAUGUCAAGUUGGUGGAGGCCCUUUGUGCUGAACACCAAAUCAACCUAAUUAAGGUUCAUGACAACAAGAAACUAGAGGAAUGGGAAGGGCUCUGUAAAACUGACAGAGGGGAAACCCCAUACAGUUGUUGGUUGCAGUUGUGUAGUAGUUAAGGACUAUGGCAAGGAGUCUCAGGCCAAGGAUGUCAUCAAAGAGUACUUCGAAUGCAAGAAAUGAAGAAAUAAAUCUUUG